UCCUACGGGGGGCAGCAGUGAGGAAUAUUGGUCAAUGGCCGGGAGGCUGAACCAGCCAAGUCGCGUGAGGGAAGACGGCCCUACGGGUUGUAAACCUCUUUUGUCAGGGAGCAAGGUGCAGGUCGGGACCUGCUGUGAGAGUACCUGAAGAAAAAGCAUCGGCUAACUCCGUGCCAGCAGCCGCGGUAAUACGGAGGAUGCGAGCGUUAUCCGGAUUUAUUGGGUGUAAAGGGAGCGUAGACGGCAGGGCAAGUCUGGAGUGAAAGGCGGGGGCUCAACCCCCGGACUGCUCUGGAAACUGCCAG
rnacentral:rRNA from 1 species